GAAGAAGGGGCAAUCACAUUGCUACCAAUAUAAAUUCCUAUUCUCCAAUACAAUACAUUUUUUUGACCUUGAAAGCCAACAAAAUAGAGUGUAAGACAUUUUUAGAGGUCGUAAAGUAAAAAAAAUUUGUUUCAGACUGUUUUCACCUUCGCAAAUCUCAACACGAUACUGAAGAUUCCGGCCAAAACAUGUUAAAAGAGGAGGAGAUUGCACUCUCCUUCUUGCGAAAAGAAUCAUGGGUAAUUUCUUGUCUGACGAUUGGCUAAUUUCAAAUUGCAAUAUUUUACAAUAUAACGAGUGCCUUGAUUGGCAAAGUUCUUACUAAAACGCUCGCUUAUUGGUCAAGAAAGAAAGAAGAAAAUUUUGCACUACACAGUCAGUGAUUCUCAAACAUUCGUAGUGGUGGAGAGAGUAUACAUUUAGUUCAUCAAUCAUAAAUUUGUUAAUAAAAAUAUACUAGAUAAAAUUGAAUAUCGUUCGAGUUUAUAUUAUUAAAUGUCCUAGAGCAAUAAUUAGAGAAAAAAAAAUACAGUGUAAUAAUUUAGUUAUAGUAAAUAGACAAGUGAAAUGUGAAAAAUCGGAGAAAUGUUAGGAAAUUGAAAACAAAUCAUCGCAUCUAAAUUUUCCAUAACAUCGAUCCGAAAAACAACGUAGAGUUGGUCUCCUAUACGAGAGUGGAAGACGGUGGCAUUGGGUCGAGGUCACCAGAACGUUGAUGCGAUCGAUGCAGCCUGCCAGCAAAGCACAACCAAAC